UACGGAGGGGGCCAGCGUUGUUCGGAAUCAUUGGGCGUAAAGGGCGCGUAGGCGGCUUGGUAAGUCCGUUGUGAAAUCCCUCGGCUCAACCGAGGAACUGCGACGGAUACUGCUUGGCUUGAGUCCCGGAGAGGGUAGCGGAAUUCCCAGUGUAGCGGUGAAAUGCGUAGAUAUUGGGAGGAACAUCGGUGGCGAAGGCGGCUACCUGGACGGGUACUGACGCUGAUGCGCGAAAGCUAGGGGAGCAAACGGG
rnacentral:rRNA from 1 species